UAUAUAUUUGGGGUUAAUAAUGGGCUUAUACCUGGCAGUUAGCUAGAUAACAUAUGUGGAAUUUAUAUGUACCCUGUCAUCGUUCUGAUUAAUGGGUUAAAUAUAGACUGUGUCUUUCUGUUCACAGUAGGCUAUUCUGGACUGGGCCUUUAAAGUAUGAAUGCAAUUUCAAAGGUCAGUGGUUUAGGGAGUCAAAUGAUUUUGUAAGUUUUUUCUGAUUUCCAAAAGAGCUGGAGAUGAGGUAAAUGGGAUGCUUGGGGUCAGAAUUCAAGGGGAAUGAAGUGGGAAGAGCUCUGGGUCAGUGGGUUCCCUGAGAGGAUUCCCCAGUUUGCUGCCAGCAGACUUGAAAGAAUGGGAGUUUUACGCCCUAGCUGUCAAGCUGAGUGUCCUCCCUCAUUGUUCUCAUUGAGAGAUGUGUGUUUGUGGAGCAAACUUCCUACAAGCUUUCCAAGUUCAGCGAAGCUGGGAUCUCAACUGGUCAGUUUUAAUGGCUGAUGCUCAUGUGAAAGGUAAAAUUGAAACAAAAAAGUAACAUAUAUAUAUUUAUAUAUAUUUAAGUGUAAACCAGUGUAUUUAUUUCUUUGGUUUGCUAUCAAGCAACCAAUUUCUGGUGACUUUGACAAGAGCAGAUGUCAUAUAGUGCCUGUGUAGAGCUCUUGGGAUACUGAAGCCACUCAGGAAGGUUAUCCCCAUCUUUAUCUCCAUCAUAUUUGCAGCCCUAUCUUUUAGCUCAGUCUCCACAGAACCAGGAAAAGGAAUCAUACUGCUUCACAUCCAUAAAAUGAAGGAGUUUCCUCUUUAAAGCUUCUCUAGUUCAACCUUCCCAGAAAUUAAUUUGAAUAGCUUUUAGCUUUGAUAUGGUUAGGUUGAGAUUAUUCAGAUUUAUGUUUUUCCUUUCUAGUAGUUCUUCUGUUUUCAAUCAUCAGUGUUUCCAGUUCAUACAGAGGAAUCUUUGUCCUUGCUUCACUUCUCACUGCUGAGGUAAGAUUUUGUCCUGCAAUUAAGCUAGCAGAACAGUAAGAACUCAAUAGAAUAACCUUUUCCUGUGGAGGACAGAUCCAAGAGUUAAUAAUUCUCAUUAAGACGACUUUUUUCUUUGAUAUGUACCCUAACUGUCACUUUCUGGUAUUUACUUUUGUGAAGUUAGCUAACAAUAGUGAAAAUCAGACUCUUCCUUGUUAGGUAUUUACCAACAAACUGGAGUGUGAAUGUUAGGGAUAAGUGGACAAAAAAAACUUCUACUAUUUUGAUGUAAAGAAUAAUACACUGAUAUAUUGUUUGAAUAUAUCUUUUCUCUGUUUAGUCCUGCAAAGCAGUAUUCAC
rnacentral:lncRNA from 1 species